AACGAACGCUGGCGGCAGGCUUAACACAUGCAAGUCGAACGCCCCGCAAGGGGAGUGGCAGACGGGUGAGUAACGCGUGGGAACAUACCCUUUCCUGCGGAAUAGCUCCGGGAAACUGGGAUUAAUACCGCAUACGCCCUACGGGGGAAAGAUUUAUCGGGGAAGGAUUGGCGCGCGUUGGAUUAGCUGGUUGGUGGGGUCAAGGCCUACCAAGGCGACGAUCCAUAGCUGGUCUGAGAGGAUGAUCAGCCACAUCGGGCCUGAGACACGGCCCAAACUCCUACGGGAGGCAGCAGUGGGGAAUAUUGGACAAUGGGCGCAAGCCUGAUGCAGCCAUGCCGCGUGAGUGAUGAAGGCCUUAGGGUUGUAAAGCUCUUUCACCGAUGAAGAUAAUGACGGUAGUCGGAGAAGAAGCCCCGGCUAACUUCGUG
rnacentral:rRNA from 1 species